rnacentral:rRNA from 1 species
AUGCAUUUAGGUGCAGCGUUGCGUGUUUCUUACUGGAGGUAGAGCUACUGGAUAGGCGAUGGGCCCUACAAGGUUACUGACCUUAGCCAAACUCCGAAUGCCGGUAAGUUAGAGCGCAGCAGUGAGACUGUGGGGGAUAAGCUUCAUAGUCGAGAGGGAAACAGCCCAGAACGCCAACUAAGGCCCCUAAGCGUGUGCUAAGUGGAAAAGGAUGUGGAGUUGCUGUGACAACCAGGAGGUUGGCUUAGAAGCAGCCACCCUUGAAAGAGUGCGUAAUAGCUCACUGGUCAAGUGAUUCCGCGCCGAUAAUGUAGCGGGGCUCAAGCACACCGCCGAAGUUGCGUCAUUCAAACAUGUCAUUGGCUUUUGUGGUCCAGUGGUUUGGAUGGGUAGGGGAGCGUCGUGUGGCCGGUGAAGUCGCGGUGGAAACCAGCGGUGGAGGCUACGCGAGUGAGAAUGCAGGCAUGAGUAGCGAAAGACGUGUGAGAAACACGUCCUCCGGAAGACCAAGGGUUCCAGGGUCAAGCUAAUCUUCCCUGGGUAAGUCGGGACCUAAGGCGAGGCCGACAGGCGUAGUCGAUGGACAACGGGUUGAUAUUCCCGUACCGGCGAAGGACCGCCCAUACUGAGCAUCUGAUGCUAACCACCUGCCGCCAUGACGUGCUGCCCCCUUGUGGGGUGGUUGUUGUGGUUGGUGGCUGGGAACCGAGGGUGUGAGGUCAGCGUGUUAACAGGUGUGACGCAGGAAGGUAGCCCAUGCCAGGCGAUGGUUGUCCUGGUGCAAGUGCGUAGG